UGGAGUACCCCGAGUACUUGGACCUUCGCCCGUACAUGUCUCACGCAGCUGGGGAGCCCCUCCUCUACUCCUUAUAUGCUGUCGUGGUGCACCGCGGUCCCAGCUGUUAUCACGGACACUAUUUCUGCUACACAAAGGCCAGCAGCGGAGCGUGGUAUAAGAUGGACGAUGAGUCUGUGGAUCGUUGUGGCAUCGACACCGUGCUCAGGCAGCAAGCGUAUCUGCUGUUUUACAUCAGGUGCUCUGAUCCGAAACCUAGCGAAAUGGCUGCUUCCUCACCGGCACCAUCGUAUGCCCCUUCCUUCCUCAGCCUGUGGGGGUCCAGCAGGAAGCAAGUGGGUUCUGUGGGAGCAGAGGGUGAGCCCCGACAG